AAACUGACCUGUUCUUGGCCGUCCAUAUACUCCUUCCGUUCCGUUCUCUCGCUAAACUGGUGCUUUUGAACACAUUCUCUCUUUCUCGUCUCUGUCACUAGUCUCUCCCUCCUUUUUUGCUGGUCCUUAUGGUUUUCAAUCGUGUAAUUUGGCAGCUUCUCCAUUCCAAACCCUAUAUCAAUUGAGGUUAACCUUCCGGCGACUUAGUUUCAGUCCUAAGGCCAACUUGUUGGUUGCUACCUCCUGGGCAACCGGGUUUCAUGCUCCUCUUGGAAGGAUGAUGAAACAACUGCCUUUUCUGGAGGGUUUGACAAACAAUUGAAGAUGUGGGUUCUGCCAUCUGGACGUCAACUAGUAAUUGUUGCAAUGCAUGAUUCCCAAUCAAAUAUGUUACAUGGAUUCCGCAAAUGAACAUGUUGGCUACAGGAGUAUCAGGCAAUAUAUGGUGCAGCCUUGCCUGAUCAGCAAGGCUUCUUGGUGCGUGCUUGAUAAUGUUUCCCUUUUUUUUUUGAGACAGCUCUUAUAUUUAAUACAAGAGAGUCACUUCUCCCCACAAGAUGUGUUGCAGCCUUUUCUCAUCAGCAAGGCUUCAUGCAAUCGAUUCCCCAUGGCUCCGAUACGUCGCUUAACAGCCUCAUCCUCCACCACCAACGAUCGACGAGCAAGGACAUUCACUAAACCCCUCACGCCAUGAAUCUCCACCAGCAGCCCCUAGCAGCCAUGACGCAAUAACACCAAAUCGGGACAUCAUCUCGUUGCUAGCCCAUCGCACGACGUCAACAACACCACUCCCUCGCCAUCGCCGCCACAUAUAGCUGCUCCGGCUCCAUGCCAGGAUGACUACCUACCCACAAGAGCCGCGUGACAUCAUUGUCGUCGCAAACAGCGACCUCGCGACAACACCAUAGUAAUUGUUGUCUCUCCACUUUGCGAAACACCACUGCCAUGCCUCCAUACAACCAUCGAUGGACAUGGCCAGCCACCCAUCAGCUCUCCUCAAUCUAACUCUUCUUCUUCCACAAACACUAACUCUCUCAAAUUUCCAAAGACUAACCCAACUAUUGUCAAUGUUUCUCUUGCAGGUACAAGAUCCAUAAUUGGGAGAGGCAAACAUCAAUUACCCUUAGCCCAUUCCCAAUUACAUGGUAACUUUAAAUUUACAAGAAAAAAGAAAAAUGAAAAGUAUAUCAAAGUCUCAUAUCUUCCUAUUGUAUAAGGUAAAACACUACAUGUCCCUACCAUUCAGGAACCUGAUUUGAAUGUGGAUGAGUUGAUUGCAAAUAUUGGAUGGAUUAAUUUCUUUGCUAUGAGUUGAGUUGUCCUAUUUACUAUGAAUUAAUUUGGGAAUUUUAUUUCACUUUUUCAUCUAUAUUACUGACUGAUUGUACAUUGAACACAACUGAGGUCAUGAAAUUAUUGUUGGGCUAAAAAUUUGCACAUUCAAUUCAUAGAUUUUAAUAAAACACUUGGAUUAAUUGAUGAUGAAUAUGCAAAAUCUGAGGAGUAUUUGAAUUCCUACAUUGACUAUUGCAGUGAAUUUGAUCCUCAAACAGUGCAUGAAACACUCACACUCCACCCACAGAGUCCUUUAAUCUUAGAAAAUCAAGUGACCGUACUUGAAGUGAAUUUAAUAAAGCACUUGGAUUAAUUGAUGAUGACUAUGCAAAAUCUGAGUAAUAUUUAAAUUCCUACACUGACUAUUUUAGUGAAUUUGAUCAUCAAACAGUGCAUGAAACACUCGCACUCCACCCACCAGAGUCUUUUAAUCCUAGAAAAUCAAGUGACUAGUACUUGAAGUCACCUGCUCUAGUAUACCUUCACAGAUUGAUUAUAUACUCAUUUUCAAGAAGGAAGGACGCACCAAGAAUCAUAUCUAAAGCUGAAUUAUUUUUUCCUAUGGUGCAUGAUUGAGAAAAAGAAAGUUAAUUUGGGUUGUUGCAUAGCAUCGCAAUUGCGCACUGCCAUUGACUGCAACAUACCAUUAACUUUAGGGAACAUAGUCAUAAAAAUAGUUUUGCUUGAAGGUCUUAUUGAUUUGGCACGUACAGAACUACACAAAGCUUAUGAACUGUUACCCUUAGAUCUCAUGAGUCUUGGUGAUACAGGGUUGCUGUGCAAGAAUGGUUCUGUGUUUUCUAUUUGACCUAGGUCCAAUCAUCCUUAGGCAACACUGCAUAUUCCAGCUUGUUGGUGAUAACGACUGACGGUGUAUUUUCUUCCCCAAGGUAUGCAUACUUGAGAUGAGAAGAUAAUGGUUUCAAUUCCAGCUUCAGAGCUUGCACAACAAAUAGUAAAAGUUUAGCGUGGGCAGUAGGUAAUUUUGAAGUAAAGAUAUUGUGUUUUACUUUAUUGGCUUCAAGUUCAUAGACUACGUCCCUCAACCCUUCUUUUAAAACCAGAUUAGUAUUUAUGGCUACUAAACUAGCUCUACCCAAGUACUCACACAUGAUAGUAUUUAAUUCAUCCUCACCUUGCAAUUCAAUUACUUGCUGGACCAUAGGGUAUAACGUCUGCACCACACACACUAGAAAGGUUAUUUGGGUAUUUCAUGAUGCUAUACAUAUUAAAUUUUAUAAUUUCUCCAUCGACUUAAAUGGUGUGUGUGCCAUAAAAAAUAUCUAUUUUAGUUCUAGCAGUUGUCAAGAAAGGUCUACCUAACAGGAGGUUAGAUGUAUUGAAAGGCCUAUCAUCAUCCAUAUGAACUAUGUAAAAGCUAGUAAAGAAUAUUAAAUUAUCAACUUGCACAAGCACAUCCUCUAGAACUCCCUCAGAGUAUAUAACUGACUUGUCAGUCAAUUGUAUCACCACACCUUUUUCUUUCAAAGGUCCAACAUUCAAAAACUUAUAAAUUGACAAUGGCAUUAUAUUUAUGGAUGCACCUAAGUCACACAUUGUUUUCUUUAGUCCACAUUGCCAAUCUUUAUAGGGGUAGUAAAUAUACCUUGGUUCUUGCAUUCUGUAGGCAUUUUACUUUGAAAACAAUAGAUACGUUUUCAUCUAUACAAACCUUUUGAUAUCCUACAAGUUUCUUUUUAUUGGUGCAUAAUUCUUUUAAGAAUUUCGCACAAGAGGUACUUAUCUAAUUACAUCAAGAAACAUUAUAUUGACCUCUACCUUACGAAAUGUCUCAGGAUCUUAUUCUCUUCUUUCUUUUUUUAGAGUUGGUUAACCUUUCAUAAAAAGGUUUAAUGGAAAAAGUAUCAGGUUCGGUUUGUACAGCUGUUAGAGCUUAUUUGCUAUCUGAUUUAGAUACUACAAUUUCAAUCUCCAAGUUUAUAUCUUGACCGUUGCCCAUGGCAACUCUUUUCCACUCUGAGGGUAAUGGUACUUACAUUUUGUUUGAAAUUCACUAUAGUUUGAGAGAGCAACUUCCCUUGAUUCUCCAAUUUGCUCAUUGAUGUUGCUAAUUGACUCAUUUGUGUUUCCAAGUUGAGAAUGCUUGUCCUUGUCUUCUGUUGAAAUUGUUGAGUAUCUUUAGAGACAUAUUUAAAAUUUUGUUAAAAUUUUGUUGUAUAUUAAUGACAUACAACGCAUCUAUAAGGUUGUGUCAGAUAUGGUUUACUUACAACAGAAAUAUCAGGAUAUGGCUAGUUACUUGGGUUAAGUAGAAAUUUUGAAAGAUGAAUUUAAUUCUCUUAUGUCUUUUACUGAUGAUGUUGAUGCACAAGAAGAACAACGUGAUAAAUUCUUUAUGGUUUUGGCAUAAUUGGAUUGCGAUUUGACUUUUGCUCUAUGAAAAAUAAAAUUUUGACUAGUUCAGUUAUUUCAACUUUAGAAGAUGUGUCAGCUAGGCUCUUACAUAUUUUCCUUAGUAAGAGUGACACUAUAGGAAUGGAAUCCUCAGUUUUGGCUGUGCAGCAAGGGAAUCAAGGACAAAGAGAAAAUUGCAAAGGUCAAAUGAAGAAAUUUCGUUGCUCCUAUUAUGAUAAGAAAGAUCGCACAUGGAAUGCAUGUUGGGCAUUGCAUGGCCGAUCACCACGGCCAAAUCAAACCAAUAAUACUGGCAAGUUAGCAGCUCAUCUUGCCCAAUCUAAUGAAGAAAGCCUAUUUCCACAACCUACUAAUAAAUCUCAGGAACUAGAUUCAAUCACUUUAACUGGAGAAGACUAUAAAUAAUACUUGCAGUUCCAAACAGCUAAGUAACAUCCUCCAUUUUCUAGCAUUGCUCACUCCAUUAAUUCCUUUGCUUGUCUAACUAAGUCUUCACCUGUUGGUCCAUGGAUUCUAGACUCUGGUGCUUCUGAUCACAUCUCUGGUAAUCACAAUCUUUUCUCUACUCUUGUUUCACCUUCCACACCAUCUAAAGUCACCGUAGCUAAUGGUUCAUAAACUCAAGUUAAAGGAAUAGAAAAAGUACAACUUCUUCCUUCUAUUUCCUUAACUACUGUCUUGUUCACUCCUGAAUGUCUAUAUAAUUUAAUUUCCAUUAGCAAAUUGGAACAGGAUUUGAGUCACAAGGAUUGUACCACCUCUCCACCUCUCCAGUUGCUUUUAUUUCUACCACUUCUGCUGAGCUUAUUCAUAACCGUUUGUGACAUCCUAGUCUUCUCAAAUUGCAGAAAAUCGUUCCUAGUUUUUCUUCUUUGCCUUCUUUAGCAUGUGAGUCAUGUCAACUUGGAAAACAAACUCGGACUUCAUUUCCCAAGCGAGUCAAUGACAGGGGCACCUUGAUGUUUGACAUUAUUCAUUUAGACAUUUGGGAUUCAAGUCGUGUCAAUAUUUGUUACUUUUAUUGAAGAUUAUUCUCGUUGCACUUGACUUUUUUUAAUGAAGAAUCGCUCUGAGUUAUUCUCCAUUUUUCAAAAAUUUUGUACUGAAAUACAUAAUCAAUUUGGUGUUCGCAUUAAGGUUUUCCGUGGUGAUAAUGCACGAGAAUAUCUUUCCUCCUCUUUUUCUCACUUUUUGUCUACUCAGGGUAUUACUCACCAGACUUCUUGGGCCUAUACUCAACAAAAUAGUGUUGCCGAGCGAAAAAAUCGCAGUUUGAUUGAAAUCGCUUGCACCUUACUCAUACAUCAUAAUGUUCCGCUGCGUUUUUGGGGCGAGGCAGUCCUUACUACCUGCUACUUGAUCAAGCAUAUGCCUUCCUCCGUUUUGCAGCAUCAGAGUCCUCAUUCAGUUCUCUUUCCUAACCAGACCUCCAACCAGCUGUCUCUGUGAGUUUUUGGAUGUAUAUGUUUUGUUUAUGAUCAUACUUCUGGUAAAGAUAAACUCCGGCCCAAAUCAGUUAAAUGUCUUUUUCGGUUAUUCUCGGCUUCAAAAAGGUUACAAAUGCUAUGAUCCCACUGCUAACAGAUAUUGUCUCUGCAUAUAUCACCUUUUUUGAAACCUUUUAUUUUUCUUCUAGCCCAACGCACAAAACCUUUGUUUCUAGAGCUUUGCCUAUACCUGCAACUCUUAUCUCUUUGGCCUCACGUCAGUCCAUCUCCCACUCCUACACCACCUCUUCAAGUCUAUACACGUCGGCCUCACCCAUCUGCUACUAACAAUGAUACUUAUCUUCUUGAUGCAGGUACUUCUAAUGACUCACCUCCAGUUCCAUCAUCACCUACUUUGGUUAUGCCUUCAGUAGCAACAGCCGCUCCUCUUGCUCUCCGAAAAUGUAUUCGCUCUUCUCGAAAUCCUCAUCCCAUUUGUAAUUUUGUGAGUUACCAUUGUUUGUCUCCUUAUUAUAUUUUUGUUUCCACCAUGUCUGCUGGUUCUAUACCCAAGACAGUUAGAGAAGCAUUGGAUUAUCCUGGUUGGUGUAAUACAAUGGUUGAGGAGAUGACUGCUCUUCAUAAUAAUGGAACUUUGAAACUGGUCUCUUUACCACCUGGCAAGUCUACUGUUGGUUGUCAAUGGGUUUACACAAUUAAGGUGGGACCUGAUGGCAAAAUUGAUCACCUUAAAGCUCGCCUUGUAGCUAAAGGUUACACACAGAUUUUUGGACUUGAUUACAGUGAUACUUUCUCUUCAGUAGUCAAAAUAGCUUUUGUUCGCCUCCUUAUCUCACUGGCUGCAAUUAAUCACUGGACCCUUCAUCAACUGGACAUUAAAAAUGCCUUUCUUCAUGGUGAGCUCGCCGAAGAAGUCUAUAUGGAGCAACCUCUAGGGUUUGUUGUUCAGGGGGAGUCAGGCUUAGUAUGUUGUCUUUGACGCUUUUUGUAUAGUCUAAAACAGUCUCCAAGAGUAUGGUUUGGACAAUUCAGCACUGUAGUUCAAUAGUUUGUAAUGUUUCGAAGUAAUUCUGAUCAUUUCGUAUUUUUUCGUAAUAAUGGCGAUAGAUGUAUCUACUUAGUGGUCUAUGUUGAUAAUAUUGUCAUUACAGGAAAUGAUCAUGAUGGAAUCUCUCAGCUUAAGCAAUAUUUGUUCAGUCAUUUCCAAACUAAAGACCUGAGAAAAUUGAAGUACUUUUUGGGGAUUGAAUUAGCACAAUCUAAAACAGGUAUUGCAAUUUCUCAACGAAAAUAUGCUUUAGAUAUAUUGGAAGAAACAUACAUGUUAGACUGUAGACAUGUGGACACCCCAUGGAUCCAAAUGUCAAAUUGGUUUCUGAAUAGGGGGAGCCACUUAAAGAUCCUGCUAGAUACAGAAGAUUAGUUGGCAAACUCAAUUAUCUCACUGUCACUCAACUAGAUAUUUCCUUUGCUGUAAAUGUGGUUAGUCAAUUUCUUCAAACUCCAUACAGUAAUCACUGGGAUGAUGCAGUCAUUCGCAUUCUUAGAUAUAUCAAAGGACCUCCAGGACAGGGACUACUCUAUGAGGACAAGAGUCACUCACAAAUUGUUGGCUAUUCUGAUACAGAUUGGGCAGGUUCCCCUUCAGAUAGACAAUCUACUUUAGGAUAUUUUAUUAUGAUUGGAGGGAAUCUUAUAUCCUGGAAAAGUAAAAAACAGGGUGUAGUUGCAAGAUUAAGUGCAGAAACAGAAUAUCGAGCUAUGACUUUAGCAACAUGCAAACUCAUUUGGUUGAAACAACUCCUUCAGGAAUUGAAAUAUAGCGAUACUGGCCAAAUGAAGUUGAUUUGUGAGACAACCCUAGAAGGCUGUCCGCUGUAAUUACCUCUAUACUGUUGAGUUUCUAUCGAAUCAAAAUUUCUGUAAUUAAAAUUCCAAUUAAACUAUUGUUGAGGCUGCCAUUCAACAUGUUCUUCCGCUCUUUGUGCCAUCUCAAUGACAUCUGCCAAAGUGAAAAUCGCAGUUACUCUCAUAAUACAUCAAAUUUCACCCGCAACCUCAAAAACUCCUCUGUAUAUUCAUCUACCCUUUGACUUCCUUUAAUACAGUCAUGAUACCGGUUAUACAAAACAUGGGCGUGAUAACUACAUAAAAUCGUUGUUCAAUCAUCUGCUUCAUCAACAGCCAGUUUCGCAUAGGUUUUGGCCUUCUGCGAUAGCGUUCAUUUUGAACAGAAUUCUACUAUACUGCUGCACCACCCUUUAAUUUGUAAGCCAUAAUCGGAACCUUUCGGUCCUCUUCCACGUUCAUAAUUUCGAAAAACCAAUCAACCUUCACUAACUAAUCAAAAAUAGAUUUUACAUCCAACAAACCAGAAAAGUUCUGAAAAUCUAUUUUUAUUUUGUAACCUUUGUGAUGAUUCUGUUGGGGAUUUGCGACCACAGGAUUUGGUACGGGCUAUGGGCAUUUGGCUAUGGCGGGUUGGUUAUUACCCUGUUGUAGGGCUAGCUUUAGCCUUCUGCGAUAGCGUUCAUUUUGAAUAGAAUUCUACCAUACUGCUACACCACUCUUUAAUUUGUAAGCUAUAAUCGGAACCUUUCGGUCCUCUUCCACGUUCAUAAUUUUGAAAAACCAAUCAACCUUCGCUAACUAAUCAAAAAUAGAUUUUACAUCCAACGAACCAAAAAAGUUUUGAAAAUCUAUUUUUAUUUUGUAACCUUCGUGAUGAUUAUGUUGGGGAUUUGCGACCACAGGAUUUGGUACGGGCUGUGGGCAUUUAGCUACGGCGGGUUGGUUAUUACCCUGUUGUAGGGCUGGCUGUCCGAUCAUCUCCCUCAAUUCUGCCAAGGAUGUUUCAAUUGCAGCGAGUUGCGCCUCUUGAUUGUCGACCAUGGAUAAACUUCACACUGAUACCAACUGAAAUAGGAUUGAUUAGACUUCGUCAGGAGUUUUAACCAAUAACGUUUAGCUAAGACGAAAUUUAGAAAAUGAAAAGUUAGAAGUCGAGAUUUCUUAUUAAAUUCUCGAAAAUUAAAAAGUGUUUCAAACAAUCAAAAAAGGCUAUUUAUAAUAGCAAAAACCCUAAUAUGAAAAAUUAUGAAAAAAUUAAAAUACAAAUUUGACCUCUUAAACAAUGGAAUUUUCGCUUUGAACUUUGUGAUAGGCUUGCGGCCUUCGUCACAUUUUUUAAAGUCGUGCGUUUUAAAAUUUUCUUUCCGAAAAACUAUUAUGGGCCUCCAACAGACGUUGACAGCAGAAAUUAAGUUCGAUCUAAAUCUACUGUAAAAUUCAAGGUUAAUUGUUCUGUAUCAAAAACACUAGCAAGAAGAUAAAGGAAGCCUUGAUACAAACCACAACAGCAAGCAAACCUUAGUGAAAGAGGCUGAAACCUAUAUUCUCAUCAGAUUCUCUUUCUCCUCGGCCUUCUCUUCCUUAUUGGCCUCAGCAGCAGGAGUUGCAGCACCACCUCCACCGGCAGUAGCAGCAGCCAGGGCAACAACAAUCACCACAAGGCACUGAAGCCAAUUUCUCCCAACCAGCAGCAAUCAACUCAGUAACAUCCUUUCCUUCAACUUUACUUGUUCAGUAAUGUAUAGCAUUCAACUUUCGUUAUCUGUGGCCACUGGCCAGUGAGUCAGUGACUGCUCCUCCCUCCUUGAGUGCCUCAAAACACACUCAAUGGGUGAAAUUAAUGAAUUGUUGUCAAUUACAAGAUGAGCGAAGGCACUCUAUGUUCACACUUAAAAUUACCUAGUCUAUGUAGGGGGGUCCUUUUCACGUUAAUGUUAUCAUGUUUAAAUGGAUGUAUAUCAUCAUAGAAAAAUGAAUAUUUCCCAAAUGUUUUUCCUAAUUGUUGCUGUCUUUGGCUUAUCUUGAACUAAUAAUAAUUAGUGCAACAAUUUGACCAGCAAAUCUUGCUCGAGAAAAUCCAUACGAAAUUCUUAGAUUCAUUUUCUAUAUCUUUGUAGGACGUAUAACAGAGCCAAGACCUACAUCUAUAUGCGUUUGCCACAGGUAAUUUAAUAGAUAUUUUGAGUUGUAUGGUCUGUCAUGUCAUGUUCCUUGCAGGAUCUGAGGUCAAAGGCAAAACCACGAGUUGGAACUAGUGUUAGAAAGUAAAGCUGCAUAUCAUUAGAGGAACAUAGCCUUUUCUUCCCCUGGAACAUCAGGCACAACGGACCACAUUUGCUCCUUCCCUCGUCCAUUGUAAAUGCAAGGGUUUUGACUUGUGUGGCUUUGUAUGUACGGAUGUCUUCUAUAGUGAGAGAGUUCGUAUAGAUGUAGGUGCCUAGAUUUGGAUCAUGAUGGUGAUCUAUGGUCUAGUGUGGCAUAAAAGUUUGUAAGUCGGCAUGAUCUAAAUUAGUCGUGCGUUAGGGUUCACCUAUCCUUUGCAAUGUUAAGCUUU